rnacentral:rRNA from 1 species
UACGUAGGGUGCGAGCGUUAAUCGGAAUUACUGGGCGUAAAGCGUGCGCAGGCGGUAAUGUAAGACAGAUGUGAAAUCCCCGGGCUCAACCUGGGACCUGCAUUUGUGACUGCAUUGCUGGAGUGCGGCAGAGGGGGAUGGAAUUCCGCGUGUAGCAGUGAAAUGCGUAGAGAUCGGAAAGAACACCAACGGCGAAAGCACUCUGCUGGGCCGACACUGACACUGAGAGACGAAAGCUAGGGGAGCGAAUGGG